AUGGAAGGGGAAAGAGGGAAGGAGAUGAGAGAAAAUGCAGGAAAGUGGAGGAAAAUAACCAAAGAAGCAGUCAGUGAAGGUGGAAGCUCUGAUAGAAACAUCGAGGAGUUUGUUGCUAAAUUGAUUGAUAAGUUGUAAGAGAAGUUACCUGUGGCAGUAUGGAGAAAAUUCAAGUAACCAAUUCUUGCUUACCACAGGAUGAUAAAUGAUGUUGCAUAAUAGUGACGAUAUUAUUCAUGGUCAUGAGAUUCAUUAGGUAACAUCUUGGUACAUCGAUGAAUCUAAUCUCGAAUGACACAGGAUCAUAUAUCAAUUAACCUAAACCGCAACAAAUCAUUUUGAAUAUAAUACCAACCUCAAGAUAAUUGAAAAACCACUAAACUUCUGUUUUCCACUCUUAAUUAUUCCAAUAACAAAAUCAUCCCUAAUCUUCUCAAAGCAAUCGCUCCUGCCAACACCAUAAAUGAGUAGGCCUCAAAGCUGAGUAAGCCGGCCAGCAGCACAGUAUGCCAUCUAACAUCUAAAUGAGGAAUUGUCCACGCUAUUCCAGUAAAAUCGUGGUUGAGGCUAAUGCUAUCCGAUGCAUACCCACAAAUUAUAUCGAAGUUGCACUGGUAAACCAAUAGUGAGCUUCUGUGUUCAGGAGUUUAUGGUGUGGCAAAACCUCUAUUUUUUUCUUUCCAGCAUUCAAACUUUGAUCUGAAGUGACAAAGCUUAUGGUAAACAGCUGUGUCGUCGACGUUAAGGACCGGAUCAUAAUCUGUAUCUACACACUGACAAGGUUCAUCCCAGAACAAUGUAAUUGAUAGGAUUAUCUGAUACAUGAUGAUCCUGCGUGUCAGGGCGUUUGAAAAUGAGGUUGAGAUGUGAUCUCUAACGGUGAUUUGACGAACCUCUCUAUCUCUCCUCAUCGUGGGACUCUCCCUUUGUUUUCUGGUGCUCGUACUCUACCGGGUUUGAAUGCAUGGUUAGUUUGUUCAUCUUCUUCAUGUUGAGUUGAGAGUAUUCUGAUCAACACGUGUCUCCUUGAAUUGUUUGUUUAUUUCCUUUUUUCCCUUUUGUUGGAUACUCAAUAUCAACCAAACUUGUUCAUCCUUUCCAGCGAAAGCGAAAAGGCCAAUCCUGAUCCGAUCUCGGACCAGCAAAUAUUGAAAAUGACAAUUUUCAACGAAGGAAACACUUAAUUCAUCUCAUCAUGCAAUUGCAAGUUAAGAAUUUUGAUACAUAUGAAUUUUACACGCAAUCUCCUAGAGUUCAGAGUAUGUACCCUUAUUCCUUGCCAAAAAAAAGAAAAACAAAGGAAAAGGUAUUUUCUUUCCUAUUCUAGUAGAUUUCUGAAAGAGUUUUUUUUUUUUUUUUGAUUGAGAGAAAACUGUAAUCAUUACUCAAAAGGAUAUAGACUUUCAUGACAAAGCAAAUCAAAGUAGAGAAAAAGUCAAAAUACUACAAAAAAAGACAAAUUCAGAAAAUAAAGAGAAUCAAUAGAGUACUGGUAGGGUUAAAGAUGUUUGAAAGAGUUUGGAAGUGUAAAAAACUAUUGGUAUGGGUCACUUGAUUUUUCAAUGAUUUGUUGGGAGAUAAGUACACUAUCAGUGCCAUAAAUUGUGUACGACACUUAUUUUGGUGCAAAAAGUUUUUAUCAGAUCACUUAAGUGUCAAAAAGUUUGAAAAACGAUCAUUUUAAUGCCAACUCCGAUCUGGUUGACCAGAAAUCCGACGUGACACUUUUUUAUUAAUUUUUGAAGUUGAUGUGGCUCGCUGGAGAGUACAGUUAGCAUCCUAACACCAAAAUGACACCGUUUGGUGUCUCUCCCGAUUCAAAACCCUAAAUCUCCAGACAGUUGCUGUCCUCGACGGCCCCCGCACUCGGCGGCCGCGACUCUGACCUCGACCCCGACCCUAACCCCAACGAUAGCCACUUAGCGACCGCGACUACGACCCUGACCCCGAUCCCAACCCCGACGAUGGCCACUCGGCGGCCAUGGCUCCAACCCCGACCCUGACGAUGGCCACUCAGCAGCUAUGGCUUCAACCCCGACCCCGACCUCAACGAUGGCCACUUGGCGGCCGCGGCUCCGACCCCGACCUCGGCCCCGACCCCGACCCCGACGAUAGCCACUUGGUGGCUGUGGCUCCAACGUCGACCCCGACCCCAACCUCGACGACAGCCACUCGGCGGCCAAGUCGAAGGCCGUGAUCUGGCCGGUGCUCGGGGAGGCCACUGAUGAGUGCGCCACCAUUGAUGUCUCCCUCUCCAUUUUCGAUCUCUCUGACGAGUGCCUAGCCUGCAUCUUCCAGUACCUAGGCUCCGGCGACCGGGGCUGGUGCUCCCUUGUGUGCCAUUGAGGGUGUCCGAACAAUGCCAAGCAAUGGCGGCCUAGCAAUGGCAGAGGUCGAGUGACGACGACCAAGUGAGCUAGGUCGGAAAAACCCUAAUUUCAAUCCCCAAAUAAAUUCAACCAAAAAAAAAUCCCUAAAUAAAAAAAAAUCCCCAAAUGAGUUAAACGGCGUCGUUUUUGUGAGGCCAUCCACGUAGGACGGAAAAAUGACGUCGUUUUCUUAAAGAGGACCGAAAAUGACGUCGUUUUAUAGCAAACAGAACUUUUUUUUUUAAAUAAAAAAGUUACGUAAUUAAUUUGGCCGGAAUGUCACGCCGGUGGCACCAAAGUGAUUGUUUUUUCUCUGAUUUGGCACUUAAGUGAUCCGACAGAAACUUUUGGCACCAAAGUGAGCGCCGUACACAACUUAUGGCACUGAUAGUGUAGUUCCCCUUAUUUGUUGGCAACAUACUUGACACUUUAUGGAAACGCUAACUUAGUUUUUGUUCAAAUUGUUAAUUUUGUAUAUCUUUCACAACUUUUAAUUGUCUUCGUUACUAAUACUUGAAAUUCACCAAUUCUUAUAAAUUUACUAAUCAUUAUUUGAGUGACUAACCGGCUUUUUUCCUAUAUCUUUGACUAGAAUUUAUUAAUCUUUCUUACUAACACAUUAAAUUGAUCUACUAUUUUGUGAAAUGACUUACAUUUAUUAGAAUAACUGACCAACUUUUUUCCCAAGUAAUCCAAUUAAAGAGUUGGUAUUUAAAGAAAAAAGAUACAUAAGGUUGAUAACUUACUCAAAUGAGAGUUGAUAUUUUAGAACUAAUUGAUAACUUAAGAUUGUGUUUAACGGUCAAGAUAAAAUUCAUGAUGGGAUAAAAUUUAUUAUAUCUUGUGUUUGGUGUCUACUCAAGAUAAAAUAAAGUCGGAUAUAAGAAAGAUAUAUCCCAAAUAAAAUUAUCCCAUAAGGGAGAUGUAUGGAUAAGAUUUCUAAUAUUUAUAAUAGAAAAUUUAUUUUUCCCAAACGAAUUUUUUAUAUUAAUAAAAUUAAAAUUAUGUUUCAAUAAAAAUAAUAUUUCAAUUGUAAUAUAAUAAAUUCAACAUAGCAAAAAAUAACAACAAUUCAGUUUUUUAAUUUAAUAUUUUUUAUAUUUAUAUAUUUGAAUUCAAUCUAUCUUAUAACAUAAAUUCAAUAGAUAAAUAUAAAUAUAUAUUUAUCACUUUACAUAUUUUAGGAAUUUUAGUAUUUUAAGUAAAUUAGUACAAUUUAUUAUUUAUUAAAAUUUUAUUAGAGAAUGAUGGAAGGGGAAACAAGAAAUAAAAAAUAAAAAAUAAUUAAUAUUUUUUUUAACUGCAAAUAAGAAUGAAGUAGGUAACAAUGUGGCAAGAAAUUUUUACCAUUGUCGUUUCAACAACUUUUAGGUUCAUUUACAUUAAUAUGCAUUUUAUAUCAAAUAAUGUACAUGAUAUAAUGUUAAGGAAAAAUCUCAAAUAAGAGCCUAAAGUGGGUUCAUUUUCUCAAAAAAGAACCCAAAGUGGACACUAUAUCAAAUAAUGACCCAAAGUAGCUAAUUUUGUCUCAAAUGAAGACCCAAACUUUUAAUCUUAUUUACAGCUUGAGGUAGUUUUGUCCAAGAACAUUUUUUCUUUAAUUUUUUUUUCUUUCUUCAUCUUCCUCACACCUCCUCCUUCACUCUACAUUGCCUCCUUCUUCAACACCAUAAUCAGGGCCCCUACCAACGACCUCGUGAACUUCAUGUCAUCACGUAGUUGGUCCUAGUGACAAGAAGUCGGAUUGGAGUUAUUAGCUACUGGUCACCUUCUCGGAUACUAAAAUCCUCAAUUCCUCAAGAUGCAUCAAAUCUCGGCUCGCUUGUGCUCAACCUAAAGCUCAGAUUGACCUCCAUCUAACAACGACGAUGCUGGAUUUUCUAUCGGGGGCAACAGUCAAUGAGGUCGAGAGCUCGAAUAGGACUUGUUAAUGCUAGCAAUGGGGCAAUGAAGUACAACAAUUUCUACAGUUAAUGAUGUCAUAUACGAUUAAUGAUCAAUCUCAAGAUGGGGUUUGAUUGAGGAGAAGAACUGUGUUGAUGAGAAUGGCAAGAGUGUGAGUGAGUGUCUCCAAACUAGGGAUUAUUGAAAGGAGCCAUUGUCAUUGCAAAGGGGAAGGGGGAUCUUUGAAAGAUUGAAUUUACGCAAGAGAGGCAAACCCAAAUUUGAAAUUGAUGAGGCAAACUCUUGCCGAGGUUGAAAUAGUCGCCAACUAAAACAAAAUUGUUCUUUGGCAUGAAAUUAUUGAUCACCAAGUGUUAAUUGAAUAAAGGCAUAAGUUAGUCAAACAAGACGAUCUGGCAAUGCUUGGAUAUUGCUACUCUGUUGUUGGCAAGCAAGACCAAAAACAACACAAAAAAUUGUAAUUGCUGGGUUAGCAGAAGGCCUGGAAUAAGUGGAGUUCGAUGCACUCUCGAGGUGAGAGAAAUACAUCGCCAAAGGGAUUAGUUGCAUAGCUUAGGAGUUGGACAAGAAGUUGAGUCUCAACAAAAGCAAAUUCAUAUUAUGGGUUUGAGAUUAGAAUUUGCGAUGAAUGUUGGAAUAAAAAGAACUUAUUUUUGAAAGCUCAUUUCAACUGCGCGGAAUUGUCUACAAACCAUUUUGAGGAGCGAAAUUUAAAAUUUUCAAUGAAUUAGACUACAUUGUAAUGGCUUAUGUUAAAGAAAACCCAAUCUUGGUCAUAUAAUGAGAUGACACAAAGAGCGAUGGAGGGGCUGAUAAUGGAGGUGAUGUAGAGAGUGAGAAAGAUGAAGAAAGAAAAAAGAAGAAAGAGAGAAAAAAAAUAAACAACAAUGUUCUUGGACAAAAGUACCCUUGAUUGUGAAUAAAAUUAGAAGUUUAGGUCCUUAAUUGAGAGUAAGUUAGCCACUCCGGGUCCUUAUUUGAGACAGUGUCCACUUUAGAUCUUUUUUUGAGAAAAUGGCUCCACUUCAGGUCCUUAUUUGAGAUUUUCCCUAAUGUUAAUAUUAUUUAUUAUUAUGCUUCACCAAAUAAUAGAUAAGAUAUAACAAAGUCUCUAAAUUUCAAAUCAUAUCCUAUCUAGUCUUAUUGUAAUUAAAAAUCUAGAUGGCCAAAUGCAACCUAAUAGGACAAAAGUAAAUAAAUCAAUUAUAUUAAAAUUAAUUUUUUCAAAUAAGAGUUGAUGAACUUAGUCCAUAAUAAGAAAGCUAAAUAAAAAUUGAUAAAAAAAUGAUAAUUAAAAGAAAGACGAACUUGAUAAGUAACUCAAAUGACAGUUGGUAAUCCAAAACUAUUAGAUCACUUAAUCUUCAAAAAGUUAAUAAGAAACCCUAACUAAGAUUGGUUGUUCUAAAAAUAUUUAGUAAACUUAAAGCAUUGUUAAGAAAUGCUAAUAAAGAACCUCAAGGGUUGGUGCAGUUGGCACUCGAGGGCUUUUCAGCUCAAGAACUAGAUUUCACUCAAUCGAAUCUCCUCAGAUAUACAAAAUUGUUAUGGGGUAGGGCCAUCUAUAUAGACAAAAUGAAUAGACUUAAUUGGUUCAUGAUUCUUGCAUGGUAUUUUAUAAGCCUCCGGGUAGCAAACUCUCCAUGACACGCUCCUAUUUUGUACAAAGAAAAGCAAAUGAAUUUAAAGUUAUUAAUCCAAAACUAGUCAGCAAUCUAAUCUGACAAAAGCAUAUAAUUUAGUUGGUAAUUUUUUUAAAAGAGGUAUUUUUAAUAAGUUAUGGAAAUAAAGUUGGUAAGUUCAUAGAAAAAUUUAUAGUUUGCAAAGUGUUGGUAAGUUACCAACAAAUUGACUAAAAAAGAUACACGGUUUGUUUUUUUAUCAAUAAUUUAGACAUUGACCGAUACUUACUGGAUUUUAUGAGUAUGGAAAGAAUGCGCACUUUUUGGCAUGGAAUAUAUUGUGCAUUACAUUAGUAUCAUUCUACUCUUUUUCUAAAAAAAGGGUAAAAGAAAACGACAAAUAUUUUAGUAGUGAGUGAGGAAAAUUUCAAAUAAGGACAUAAAAUACUUUCAUUUUCUUAAAUAAAGGUAGAAAUUAUUUCAAAUAAUGACCCGAAGUGCCUUCAAUUUCUCAAAUAAUGGUCAGAAGUGGAUCUUAUUUGAAAUGAGGGUUUAAAGUGUCCAUAUCAGUUUCAAAGAAAUGCCUAAACUCAUUGGCUGUGAAGGGCAAUUUUGUCUUUUAAAAUUUCUAUUUUUUCUUUCUUUUUCCUUUUUUCUUUUCAUAAAAAAAGUAAAACACAGGUGAGAGGGAGUGCCAUGUUUUUUUUUUAAGUUUUUCUUAAUUUUUUUAAUAUAAUAUUAUUUAAAUUUAAUUUAUGUUUUGAUGAAAAUAUCCCUAAUCGAUUGGAAUAUUUUGCCAACAAGUGAGAUUAGGCCCUUUUUGAAAUAAUUAUAACCAUUUCAGGCUUUUUUUUUUUUGGGAUUAAUAUGCACACUUCUUGCCCUUAUUUGGAACUUUCCUAAUGACUGACCUAAAAAUUGCUGAGAUGAGAUCCAAGAAGAUAUUCUUCUUUUAGGAUCAUUGGACCAUGGACGUCAAUGCCAAUAAUGGCAAGUGGAUAAAUAGCUUUGAGAGUGGACGUAUUGAUGUGAUACGUUACAAAUAAUGAUUAAUCCCUGUUUGGUGCAACUCAUUGGAGCGUCAGAAGAAUUUCAUGGUUACGAUUUUCUAAACAGCUUAAAUCAAUUUACAGGGUCUAUUAAACUUUUCAUGCACAUCUAAAUAGUUAGUUUUUUCAUACUCUUGUCAGUAAACACCCCUCACAAGAAGACAAGAAGAAGAAAAUUUUCCGGGCCCCGCACUGAUAUUGGAACACACCAGCAUCGCUCAAGUACCCACUAAUCACUGCUGCUACAUCACAGGUAAGACCAUGGACACUUCACUUAAUUGCGAGAGAAACGCAAGAAAAUGAAGGAUUCAAGUAAAUCCCCGAAACCACAUGGCUUAGUUCUAUCAUGGCCAGCCCAAGGCCACAUCAACCGCACACAUGCUCCAAUUCGCCAAGCGUCUACUCCACGAAGGAGUUAAAGACACUCUUGUCACCGCCAGAUCAAUGUCCAAGACCCUUCAUGGAUCCCCACGUACCUCCAUUGCCCCCGAGAGAUACUCCGACAGCUUCGACGGCGGCGGCAUGAAGGCUGCCACAAGCAUCGAAGCCUACCUCGAGCAUUUUUGGAAGGUCGGCCUCGACACCCUGAGUGAGCUGGUCGAGAGGCUAAUCUCUGGCGGUCCACUGCCGAGUUGCGUUGUCUACGACUCGUUCUUGCCUCGCGCUCUUGAAAUGGCCCAAAAGUUUGGGCUGCUUGGGGGCUGCUUGUUCCACCAGUUCUUGAGCUGUGAUCAGUGUGUUUAACCACUACCAAAAGGGACUGCUUGAGGUUUCAGUGAGGAAGCAAGUUUUGCUUCCUGAAAUGCCUCCUCUCGAGCCACAAGGCAUUCCAUCUUUUGUGUGAUGUGGGGGUCAUACCCACAAUUCUUUGGCAUGGUUGGAGGGAACCAGUUCUCCAAUUUAGAGAGAGUGGGUUGGGUGCUCUGCAAUGCAGUGUAUGAGCUGGAACAAGAAGUACACAACUGUAUGGGAGCUCCCAAAUUGCAGAUUAAUUGAACGUACAAGGUAAAAUGGACUGUAUAGGACCUUCUCGACGUAUAUGCUUUGGUGUAUUUUGCAUACAUAGGUCAAGUAUUUAACUGACAAUCAUUUAAAGAUAUCAUUGUCGAUGUUUGACACGACUUUGUUAUCAAGAAAAAGAAAAUGACAAGUUAUCACUCAAAUUGUCUGGCUUAAAAGGGACAUUAGUUUUAAGGUUUGUUAUGAAGUGCUACUUGAUGAAGUUAUAAAUUGUAGUGAAUAUAUAGAGUGUGAUUAUUUGAAAGAGGCAAAUAGGGAUUUAAUAUGAAAUAUUAAGUGCCAAUUUGCAUGAGUUGAUUAACAAUCGAGAAAUAUUUCGAGAGUGAACGACUGUAUUUAAAUGAGGUUAAUUUCAGAAAAUGAUAAGUUAUGACAUGCACAUUUUUUUUACAUCAAUUGAUAUAUUCAGGUUAUUUAGGUAAUUAUUAAUAUGAAUGGAUUAUAGAUGAUUUUGUGAAAUUUAGAUUAGGUCACGAAAUUUGUGAUGCACAGAAAGUUUGAACGUACUUACCUUGUCUGUAAUUUUUGAGGGAGUGAUUGACAUGUCUAGUAAUUUUUAACUGGUUUAAAAUUUAUAAAAUGCAAAAUUUUAUGGAGUAAUUAUGUAAUUAUAGAAAUAUGGAAUUAUAUGAAAAUAUUUUUAAUUUUUAUGAUUUAGGUAAAUUUAAUCAAAGCGCGGUCUUAGAAACAAAAAUUAUAUGAGUUACUUAAGUUAUUGAAAAAAAUAAUGUUCUAAGGCUUAAUUCUUCUAAAUGAUUUAUAAAAAUUCAAAAUUUCUCAAUUAAAUGAUGAUGGCAUGGUGUUUAGCGGAUGAAGUUUUGUAUAUUGAAAAACAUGAAACCAUUUGAUUGGCACUAUUUACACGAGAAACGCCAAGAAAUUAUACUAUUUGCACUCUAAUUACAUGACGAUUGUUAUGUGAUAAUGAUUUGCACUUGAUGGUAAUGACUGUUUCAUGAAUAAGAGUUUGUUUUUAGAAAUGAUGAUAAAUGGAUACUUGGUUUCUAUCAAUACUAUGGAAAAUGCCUAGAGAUUAGUGUGAAAAAAAUUUACAUGUUAUUAUUAAUUGUACAUGGUAAUUGUUAUCAUGAUUUGUAUAUCAAAGAUGCCAUGGAAUGAAUACUUCUGCCACAGCCUAUUCAUCAGAGAGCGAAUUGCCCUACAUGAGCAUGUGUAUUAGACUCCAGAAAAAGAAAAAUGUUUUAUAAUCCCUGAUAGUUUUCUAUUACUACAAGGUUGAGAGAAUAAUAAAUCUUAUGGUUCAUACAAGAAAUGAUAUAACUUGUGCAGCCUAAUGAGGCUUGAGCAGCAUAAUAUGAGAAUGAGUAUAGAAUAGCAUUAUCAUGCAGUUGUACAAUUGUGUAUUUAUACUUGCUAAUGUAGAGGGCACCAUGAUGGAUAGGUUAAAGUGGGGGCAAACAUGUGUUUAUGAUUCCAUCCUCAUAAGUUGGUGAUAACGGUGGAUACUCGUGAUGGAUGGAUUAAGGCGCAGCAAAGUUGUGGCUAUGAUGUUUAUCCCCAUGAGUUGAUGAUGACGAGACAUAAUUAAUCAAGAUGAAUUCUGGCGAGCGAUGAGUAGAGAAUAGAUAUACACCUACGCGGCUUGCAAUGCACAAUAGGUCGGUCAAAAGACAGAUUGAUCCAGUGGAAAAUGCCUGGUCCUCCUACUUGCUGUGCGUGAAAUUUAAUUUCGAAGAGUAAGAGCCACUUGUUUUUGGGUUGUCCUUUCUCUGUUCAAGCCCAGUGUACGAUACUGCAGCUUCAUCAAGUGCCGAGAAGGGUUGCCGACUGGUAGCUUGAGGUUGAUUGGGUUGUGGCCAGCUAGGAAUGGUUGUUUGCCCUCUCCUACCGCUACUUCUAUUAGAACUGCUUCCAAUGGUUCUCAGAUAAGAAGACCAGUGCAGAGUAGGUUGGCUAGAUGUGCUCUAGAAGCUCCGCCGGUUUCAUCCGAAAGUACAACGAUAUAGAUAUAGUCUAUGAAAGCGUACAGAUAAACCGCUAGCGCUUCUCUAUUCAACAGCAUAUGAUCCAGCUAAACCCCUAAGUAUCCAAAUAUUCACAUCAAUAAGGGUCCUAAAUAUCUAAAUAUUCACAUCAAUCAGGGUUUAAUCUUUUACUUUUCUACUCAUAUAUAUACUUGUGAUGGAGAAUUUCACUUUGAAUAUCUAUUUUUAUACUUACUAAGGUCCGAUUGAGCGCAUCUGUAAUUUAUGAAUAGCUAUAUUGCUUUAGAGAAAGUAGAUCUAAUAAAUAAGGCUUUUAGCUCUAUCUUAUAAGGAUGCUCAACAGUCUCCGUUUGUUGUGCUUAGAGGAUUCGAAAUUAAUUUUUUUCCAUAGUUCUAGAAUUUCAAAAUCCUAUAUAAUUAUCUUAGAGAUUUGGAUUGCCUCAUUUCCUUUUUAUUAAAUAUUUGAUUAGAUUUCAGAUAGCAUUUUAAGAGAUUUUCUUUACUUGUUUGAAUAUUUCCAAUAAAGUUUGUAUUUGAGCUGGGUGCGUGUAUUAUGAGUUUUCAUGGCUGGAACAAGAUCAAUAAAGUAAUGAUCUUUAUAUGAUGAAAUUACACGAACGUUCAUUUAACGUGUCUGUUCCUACACUUACGUGCAUGCUGACAAUCUUCAUCCAAGACCCAUGUAAUGAUAAGAUCCUAGGCAUGAUGAUCUUCAAUGGGGCUGAACUAAAAAUUAGGUGGGGAUAAAAAUCUCUCACGACAGGAUCAACACGUUAUGAUUUUCAGUGGGGGCUGAAAAUCAGGUUGGGAUGAUAUGGCCUUUUGUAGUGGUUCCAUGAAGCUCUCUCUUCAACUUGUAACUCGUUUCCAUUUGUUUUCUACCAGGGUUGAAUGGUUGGUUUUGUUAUCUCCUUUUCGUGAGGAUUCUGGUCACAAUUUACCUUCAUGAUUACCUCUUGGACAUUUUUUUUUCUUUAACAUUCUUUGCCCGAUAUUUGUAUAUUGGCCAAAUUUUCUUCACCCUCUCCCUUUGAAAGAACAAGAUGCUAAUCCUUAUUCACUGUCGGACCAGCAAAUCUCGACACCAAGGUGUUCCAACAUAUGAAUGACUUAAAUUAUUUCAUUGCGGUGACACUUUAGAUGUACUGUUGGAUGUAUAUAGCUAAAAACUCAAAAAGUGGCAAAUUCUACGUGCAAUCUGCUGUUGUAAGCGAUUUGCUGUUAUCAUUUCACUAUUUUUCUUGGGAAAAAUUAUUGUUGGCCUUGAAAAUUUGCAGACUCUGUAGUAGGUGUUCUGGUGUCUGAGCUUUCAAAUCUUGGCAAGUAGACAAAAUGCGUUGGGAUUCAAGUACCUUGUUCAAACUAACAACGAGUUGUCUCCACGAGAGAAGUCGCUCCCGAGAGUUACUGGCACAUUUGUUUCAUUGAAAACUUCAUUCUAGAGUAAAAUAUAUUUUGUAGAAAUUAUUUUUCUUGAAAAUUUUACUUUUUGGUUUUUUUAUUAUUUAAGAAAAUUGAUUUCUUUUUUAAUCAGAAGGUUUUUUCCUAAUUCAAGCUUAUCAUAUUUAGUUCAUGGAAAAUGUUUUUGAUAGAUUGAUUAACUUUUCAUCAUCAGAACAAUGAAAAGUUGAAAAACAAAAACAAUUUUCCCUCAUAUGGAUUUUAAAUCUGCCCUUCACAAAUGUCAUGUAUAUAUGAUGUAUAUUCAUAUUUAUCUAAACAAGAUUCUUGAGCGUCGCAAUACAAUUAGCAUUGUUUGAGUCAAAAAUCGCACUGCAUGUAAUCUCCUAUGAUAUCGAUUAUCAUUAUUAAUUUUCUCAUCUUGGACUUGCCUAUUAGAAAGCUUCCAAUGCUAUGUUCGUCUGAAACUAAAUCUUCUUAGAACUUCAACUUCGCACGUUUCUUCUAUUUGAAAUUUUUUUCCCUUCUUUAUGUUGAUAUUUUAGCGAAAAUUCUAUUUAUGAUACGAUAUCGAGCAACGCAAGUCACCUAAUCAUCAAACUGCGAGUCUCCCACCCAAUGGAAGCACCGGAUCAUACCAUCGCAGUUUCGCGAGUCACCUAUUCGUCAAACUGCGAUUGACGUGACCACGUAGCCUGUUUUUGCCUCAUAGGCUCCUUGUCCCCAACAAUCUUCAAAGAAACCCAGAAAGGAGGGAAUUUUUCUUGGCCACUCAUUGGAACCCAUCAAACCAUGGCUUGAAGUGCCCACCGACAACUUUCUUUUUCCCUCGCGUGCCAAGAAGGAUCAAUCGUGCACUUCCUAAUGUAGUCACAUUGCAUAUAAUCCCACGAAGUGACACUUCACUGAAAUGCAAAAAAACCACAGAAAAUGGAGGAUUCAAGAAAAUCCCACAAGCCACAUUGUUUAGUGCUAUCAUUCCCAGCACAAGGCCAUAUCAACCCCAUGCUCCAAUUCUCCAAGCGCCUAAUCCACAAAGGCGCCGGAGUCACUUUUGUCACCACCAGAUUCAUGUCCAAGACCCUUCAUGGAUUGUCCUCUAACCCCUCGAUUUCACUUGAGAGUAUCUCUGAUGGCUUCGAUGAUGGCGGCAUGAAGGCCGCCAGUAGCCGCGAAGCCUACCUCGAGCGCUUCUGGAAGAUCGGUCCAGAGACACUGAGCGAAUUGGUCGAGAGGCUGAUCUCUAGUGGCCGGCCACCGAGUUGCAUUGUCUACAACUCGUUCUUGCCUUGGGCUCUUGAUGUGGCCCAGAAGUACGGGCUGGUUGGGGCUGUUUUCUUCACCAUGUCCUGUGCUGUAAGCAGUGUGUUUUACCACUGCCAAAAGGGACUGCUUGAGGUCCCCGUUCGUAAGCAGGUUUUGCUUCCUGGGAUGCCUCCUCUUGAGCCUCAGGAUAUGCCAAGUUAUGUGUCUGAUCCGGAGUCAUACCCAGCUAACCUUGGCGUGCUUGUGGGUCAGUUCUCCAAUCUUGACAAAGUGGACUGGGUGCUUUGCAACACGGUGUAUGAGCUGGAACAAGAAGUAAGUACCCUAAAACUCCUUCGGAACUAAACCAUUUGUGAAUGAAAAGGCUUUAUUUUAAUCUUCUUCUCAGUCUUAUCUAAUUCCUUUGAGAGGGUAAAAUGGGGUCUGAUCAAUGUACGAGGAUUCAUGGACUAUACACACCUUUCACGGCAUGUUUAUUACCGUAUACCUUGCGUGUGUCAAAUUGAACAAUUAUUUGAAGAUAUGGUCGUUGAUAGUGAACAUGACCUGGGACCAUACGAGAAGAUAAGACGAGAACAUGAGUGGUACACGACUUGGAGUUGUCAAGCAGGAAUGGGCAGCGAAUUUGACUUGGCAUGUUAGCACACAUGUACUUGGAAUUGUCUAGCUGGAAUGGCCAGCGAAUAUGACUUUACAUGUUAGUGAAGAUUGAAAUUUCAUGAAUGAACAUGCGAUGCUCAAAUAUUUCCCUAUCAUCAAUCACCUAAUUAGGACAAGAGUUAAGUCCCAUGCUUUGCCUCUCAUCUAUCAUCUUCCUGAUCCAUGAGUCAUCCAACUUUUUCUUACGAGCAUUUAGCUAAAAUUUCGUGACAUUGGCUUUGCCUGGCAGCUAGUGGACUGGUUCAUGAAGGUCAUGCCAUUUAGGACCAUAGGGCCAACAGUGCCUUCCUCCUAUUUGGACAACAGGCUUGAACAAGACACAGAAUAUGGUCUCAGCAUCUUCCAACCAGAACACGACACCACCAUGAAAUGGCUGAGCACAAAGCCAAAAGGGUCGGUUGUGUAUGUCUCUUUUGGGAGUGUAGCAGAGCUAAAGAUUGAUCAAAUGCAAGAAAUUGCAAUGGGACUAAAGAGAAGCAACCGUUAUUUUCUCUGGGUGGUGAGGUCAUCUGAAGAAGACAAACUCCCGCAAGACUAUGCAAAAGAGACAGCCCAAAAGGGUCUAAUCGUAACAUGGUGUCCUCAACUGGAAGUCCUAGCGCAUGAAGCACUAGGGCUUUUUCUGACACAUUGCGGUUGGAACUCAACUUUGGAAGCGCUCACUUUGGGUGUGCCGAUGAUGGCGAUCCCGCAAUGGACCGACCAGCCCACGAAUGCCAAGCACAUAAUGGAUGUGUGGAAGAUGGGGCUGAGGCCACCUGUUGAUGAGAGAGGUGUUGUGAGGAGUGAAGAUAUAGAGAAUUGCAUCAGGGAGAUAAUGGAAGGGGAAAGAGGGAAGGAGAUGAGAGAAAAUGCAGGAAAGUGGAGGAAAAUAAUCAAAGAAGCAGUCAGUGAAGGCGGAAGCUCUGAUAGAAACAUCGAGGAGUUUGUUGCUAGUUUGAUUGAUAAGUUGUAAGAGAAGUUACCUGUGGCAGUAUGGAGAAAAUUCAAGUAACCAAUUCUUGCUUACCACAGGGUAAGGAUGAUAAAUGAUGUUGUAUAAUAGUGACGAUAUUAUUUAUGGUCAUGAG
rnacentral:lncRNA from 1 species